UUCCUUGAUCAAAUAGAUCCACCUAUCACAGGAUUCCACAUUUCAUCUACGAAAUUGCAGGCGCAAAUCAUACGUACUCACGUCUGUUUUUAUUUUUAUCCCCUGCUUCCUCUUCUCCCAAAUGCUCAGCGCUUGCCCUGGCUCAGAAUCGAGACUCCUCUCACCCUGUUUUCACUCGUUGCUUCUCUGUGUUCACUUAAACCUAAAUCUAGUCCCAUGGCGUCUACUUCUACAACCUCUGCUCGACCAGAAUCAGAGACUGUUAUGGCUGCUUUUCAUGAAAUCGCUCCAUCUACUUCGGGUAUCGGGUACAUCCUCAGCACUCAUCCAAAAACCAGCUUUCCAUGUAUUCAUUAAUCAUCGUGGACCAGAUGUAAAAAGAACUUUAGCUACCAGGAUCUACAAUGUUCUGGCUGACAUAAAGGUUACAGCUUUUCUAGAUUCAGAGAAGUUGGAAUACGGCGAUUUCUUGCCUACAACAAUAGAAGCAGCAAUCCGUGGUGCUACCCUUCAUAUAGCAAUCUUUUCAAAAAGUAUGCAGAAUCACCUUGGUGUUUGGCAGAACUCUCAUCUAUGCUUAAAAGUGGCGCCAAAAUUGUUCCCGUGUUCUACCAUGUGGAGCCCAAUGAUCUCAGAUAUGUAGCUCAAAGGAAAGGAGUGUACGUCGAUACCUUUGAGAGACAUAAAGAGAAAGGUAGAUACAGCCCAGAAAAGAUUCAGGAGUGGGAAGAUGCACUCUACAAGGUCUCAUUUUACAGUGGCGAAAUCAUCAAUAAUAAUGAUGAUGAGGUGAAGCUGUUGAAGAAUAUUGUAAAUAUUGUACUGAAAGAAAUAAGCAAUGUGCCACUAGUAGUUGCAAAACAUCCAGUAGGUCUCAAUGAAGCCGUAGAAGACUUUGAGAAUACACUCCAACUUGCCCAGGGUGAUCAGGGUGCACAAAUUGUGGGCAUUUGGGGGAUGGGUGGUUUGGGCAAGCCCACGCUGGCCAAGCAAUUAUACAACAAUAGAUGUUCGUCCAUGGAAAGGUCUAGUUUUAUUUUUGAUAUCAGAGAUGCCAAAGGGGUGUUGCAGAACAAGCAGAUUCAACUCCUCAAAGACCUUGGUGUGAAUCAAACAUUUGACAAUGUGGAGCAAGGUAAAGCAAUUCUUGUAAAGCAUUUGAGAUCUUUCAGGGUGUUCAUUGUUAUGGAUGAUGUGGAUCAUGCUGAUCAAUUAGAUGCUCUAAUACCUGUAAAAGCAAGUCUUAAAAGGGGGAGGCUUGUAAUUGUUACAACUCGAGAAUGUGAAGUUCUUACAUCUUGGGGUAUAUCCCUCAUAUAUAAAAUGAAAGAAUUAGAUCCAUUUAAUGCUGAGCAACUUUUCUGUUGGCAUGCUUUCUUACAAUCUUAUCCUUUUGAUGGAUUUGAGGAGCUUGUUAAAAAUUUCGUAGAGGCUUGCCACGGAUUGCCUUUAUCUCUUAAGGUGUUUGGAGCACAAUUGUAUGGAAAUUUUCACAAACAAUCAUGGGAGUCUUUGUUUCAUAAGAUCUCAAGAAUAUUGCCUAAUGAUAUCAAAGAGAGACUCAAAGUAAGUUAUGAUGCUCUUGAUGAUGAAGAGAAAGAGGCAUUCCUUGACAUUCCCUGUUUUUUUAUUGGAGAAAGGAAAAGUUUGGCUAUUGAAAUCUGUGAUGGAUCAGGAUGGAGUGGUCUGUACAGUUGGGAAAGGCUUCUAAAUAAAUGUUUGGUUAAAUAAAUGUUUGGUUGAGCUUGAUCAUGACGAUCACAUAAGAAUGCAUGACCACAUAAGAAAUCUAGGAAGAAAAAUUGCAAAUCAACAUAUACCCUCCCGACUUUGGUCAGUAAACAAUGGAAAGGAAAACCUUUGUACACGUUUGCUUGUGCCUAUUGAUCAUGUUAGAUAGCUAUUUAAAAAGACAGUCUCACUAGAAAUACCUAUUUACUCUGUAUGUGUUUAAAUAGCCAAUGAGUUUAUCUCGAUUUUUAUUUGUGUUUUCAGAAAAUAAAUGCCAUUCGAGGAAUGAAGGCUGUCCCAAAUUGGAAUUAAAAAGCGAAGGCCAUAUGGUGCGUGUUUGUCUCUGUUUUGUGGUUGCUGCUCACAGGAGGAACUCACACCUAAUAUAAGUCGAAGAAUUUUGUUGCCUGCAUCCUCUUUAGUUGGACUAAAGCUUUUGGUGAUUAAAGGAGAUUAUUUUAAUCAAGUAAUCGGUGAAGUAUCAAGGGAGCUGGUCUGGCUUCGCUGGCUCCGAAUUGGCCAGAGAAAUCUUCCGACAUGGCUUUCAUUGAAAAAUUUGAGGGUUUCAGAGCUACAGGAAGAAUAUGAAGGAGGAUAUCAGUUAGAAGAGUUGUGGAAUGCUGAGAGCGACGCUCCCCUGCAGUUGAGAGAGUUGGUUAUUUCUUUUUGCAACAGAUUCCAAAGACUUCCAAACUCAAUAGGGUGUCUCAAAGAGUUGAAAAAGAUAGUAAUCAAAGGUGGCAAUGUAAGGAGUCUGCCAGAAGAAUUUUGCCUUCUGCAAUUGUUGGAGCACCUCGAAUUACUGUCAUGUGGCAUGCUAUCAUCACUACCCAGCAAGUUUGGUGAUUUGACAAAUCUGCGGUAUCUAGAUUUGUCCCGUUGCAUGAACUUGAGGAGGUUACCAGUUUCUUUUAAGAACUUGAUGCUGCUGCAACAUCUCAAUUUACAGAUGUGUAGGGAGCUCAUACUUAUGUCAGAUGAUUUCCAAAACAUAACAAAGCUGGAGUUUUUGCGCCUUUCUGAGUGCAAGCAAUUGGAAGAGUUGCCAAGUCAUAUCACAAAUCAGGCGUCAUUGAGAGAGCUCUAUUUAGAUGGUGUGGUGAGCUUAAAUGAGCUACCAAUUAAAAUCGGUCAACUGAGCAAGCUGCGAAAGGUGAAGAUUAGAAGUGAGUUAUUGAUAAGUUUGCCAAACUCUCUUGGAUAUUUGUCCUCCUUGACUGAUCUUUUAAUUGAGGAUUGUAGCAACCUGGAAUCUUUGCCGACCUCUCUUGGAGAUUUGUUCUCUUUGACUGAUCUUAGAAUUCAGAAUUGUCCAAAGCUGAAAUGUUUACCGUUCUCUGUCGGGCGCCUUAAUCUAUUAGAGCAUUUAAACAUUUCCUGGUGCCCAAUCAGCCAAGUAGAUUUUGGUGUGGCGUCUUCAUCUUUUGCAUUGAGCAACCUGAAGUGGAUGAAACUAGAGGAAACCGAAUUGUGCAAGAUUUCAAUUUCUGAAGACCGCUAUCCUCUCCUUAAGACACUGCAAUUUCUCAGCAAUUAUCAUUUAGUGGAAAUCGAAGCACUGCCAGCAAGUGUUGAAUGUCUCUAUAUACGGGAGUGUCCAAAGUUAGAGGAGCUUCCGAGUUUUGCACGAUUAACUUCUUUCAGAAAAUUUGUAGUAAGAGGUUGCAACCGAAUUGAGAAAAUCGAAGGUUUAAAAUAUUGCACAAGAUUGGAAAUAUUGAGAUUACACACCUGUUGGGAGGUGCCAGGCAUAGAAAGUUUGCAGCAGAUGGAAAAAUUGAGGAGGCUGGAACUGAAAGCAAACAAAGGAUCAGCUAUUGACAGUUGCAUUCAAAGGGUACAGGUAAAAAACAAUCUCUAGGAAUAGAAUAUUUUAAUUAUCUUCAUCUAAUUGUGCAUUGACUGAAUGUUGUGCAAGGAAUUUGCAGAAAUGGCCAGAUGGAGUGAUAAUAUGUACAAGGGCCUUCUCUGAUGCAUCCUCAGUUGUAGACUCCUUACUACUCUCUCCGAAUCUCAUUCUCGUUGACUCCUUCUCUAGGAGGGAUUUUUACUCCGUCCCAGAAUUGCUACAGAAGCAUUCCUACAAUGGCAACACCAUUAUGCUGUGUUAUAUUAUAAAUUGUGUUUCUGUCAGACAAAUGGAAAUUUACUUAGAGCAGAGUAAUGUUGGAAUAUCUCCGAUGAUGGAGAUAGAGGAGGGUAGAUGGGCAUAGAUAGUUGUUUUCACACAACUUUCUGGAUUGUUGGAAGCAAAGGUUCGCUUCAGUCUCUCAACAGAAGACCGCUCUGCAGAGGAGGCAAAAGUGGAAGUGGAGAGAGGUUUGGCUGUGAGAGGGGAACAUAAAUUAUUAAUGGAGGCAUUAUUGUCAGUUUUACGAAGCAUUUGAAAAUCAUUGUAGGCGGAAAGUGUGGAGCUAAUUACGCGGAAGACUUUUCCUAUUGUACAUAUGCUGAUUGCAUUUGCUUGAAAAUAUCCAAGGCUUUAUCAACAAGCCCAAUAUGUAAAUGUCCAGCUAUAAUUGCAGUCCACGAAACCAAAUCUCUUUCAGGCAUAUCGUCGAACAAUCUGUGCGCCUUUUGUAUGUUUCCACAUUUUGCAUACGUAUCAAUCAGGGCAGCCACAACUACAACAUCCCUUAAAAACCCAAAUUUUUAUGAUUAUUUGGUGCAUCUCCAUUGCCAAUUUCAAAUCUCCCAUUUUGGCACAAACUGGGAGGAUGCUGGCAAAGGUUGCCGAGUUCGGCUCUAUGUCGGUCAACUGCAUUUGCUCAAAAAUCAUCGAGGCCUUUUCAACAAGCCCAUGUUGCUCAUAUCCAGCUAUGAUUGCAUUCCAUGGCACCAUAUCUCUUUGAGGUAUUUUGUCAAACUCUUGGUGCGCACCAUCCAUUUCGCAUACAUGUCCAUCGGGUACUCAUCACACCAACAUUAGAUUGAAACCCGCAUCUAAGUAUUCUUCCAUGGAUCUACAAACCAUGUUUUGGAGAAGCCACAUGGGAUUAUAAAGGGAGAAAAGCGGAGAAGGUGAAGUGAUCAGGCUGGACGAUUGUUCUCUGCAUUUGGUAAAACAGUGUGAAUACCUCUGAUAUAGUGAACUCUGUCUUUAAAACAGUGUGAAUACCUCUGAUAUAGUGAACUCUGUCUUUACCUUGUAGCCAUAAAUGAGAGGUUAACUACCUAGUAGGCAUUCUACCUUCCUUUUCAGUAGUCUUGACUAUGAUGCGGAGGACUACUUCUCAUUGUGUUACAAGCAUUUCAUUUUUCAA